rnacentral:rRNA from 1 species
AGAGUUUGAUCCUGGCUCAGAGUGAACGCUGGCGGCAGGCCUAACACAUGCAAGUCGAACGGCAGCACAGCAGUAGCAAUACUGUGGGUGGCGAGUGGCGGACGGGUGAGGAAUGCGUCGGAAUCUGCCUUUUUGUGGGGGAUAACGUAGGGAAACUUACGCUAAUACCGCAUACGACCUACGGGUGAAAGUGGGGGACCUUCGGGCCUCACGCAGAAAGAUGAGCCGACGCCGGAUUAGCUAGUUGGCGGGGUAAAGGCCCACCAAGGCGACGAUCCGUAGCUGGUCUGAGAGGAUGAUCAGCCACACUGGGACUGAGACACGGCCCAGACUCCUACGGGAGGCAGCAGUGGGGAAUAUUGGACAAUGGGCGCAAGCCUGAUCCAGCCAUGCCGCGUGUGUGAAGAAGGCCUUCGGGUUGUAAAGCACUUUUGUCCGGAAAGAAAAGCUUCGGGUUAAUAACCUGGAGUCAUGACGGUACCGA